rnacentral:lncRNA from 1 species
AUCAAAAGGACUUUUCCAAGGCUUGUAAUAAGGUUGGGCUAACAAGAAAGAAUUGGUUUUUCUAGAAUGCAAAAUCCUUGAGUCAAGAGAGCUAUUAAAAUAUUCAACAAUUAAGCACAACUCUCUUCCUUACCAAUCUCUCUCAUUCCCAACUUUUCCCUUUUCUUUUUCUUUUGCAUUGAGCUCUUCAUGCUUUUCUUCUUUUCUUUUCUUUUUCUCAUGAAUUUUUCUUUUCACAGCAUUUGAGCUCAAUGUUUUUCACUUGCUUUUUCAACUUUCCCCC